rnacentral:lncRNA from 1 species
UUUGGUUUGGAAUAAUAACUGCAGAAAAUAUGUGCUUGGGAAACAGUGGUUUUCUGGCCGUUGCCAGUUUCUUCCAUUACUGUUGGAACAGUGACUUGAGCCCUCACAUAUACAGCUCUUUCAUUCCACUGACAUCAGUGUAAAUGGCAUUUAACUUGGGGUUCCUUGUGCAGAAAUUGGACUACAAAUAAUUAAUUGUUCUGUUAGGGGGAGUUGAGGCUUACUGAAUUCAAAUGAACUUCCAGGCAGUAUCUGAAAGCCUGUAAGGAGCUUGACUGCACCAUGGGAUGUUUGUCCAACACCUACUAAUUGGGAGACCCAUCCUGGGGCCUAGCUUGAAUGUGUUGGGAAGCACCAGCAGUGUCACUCUAGCCAGUGUACUGGAGCACCCUCAUAAGUCUCCUUCUACUCAAUGAGGGUUUAUUUAGCACUUACUCUUUUGCUAAAGACCCCGAUAGCCCAAAGAGCUGGGCAAGUGACAAAAUGCAGAGCACUAUCAGCAAGAGUUCAUAUUCACUGCAGCUACACCCUGAAAGGGGAACCCUUAUCCUCCUGGAUGCAAUUCCCUGCACUGUCCAGCGUUGUCUAAACACAGUCCAGGUUCACCAUUUUGGGGAGACCCACAACUGACAAAGCACUGACACUGGGGGUUUUUCAUGUUGAAUCCCAGCAUUAUUGACCUGCCAGGCUGGGCAGAUUCCCAUGACACCAAACCCAGGCAAGCAUUUCUGUGCAUGAGCCUGAUAAUAUAUAAUUAGGCAAAUAUUGCAGGAGUUAUGUAAAAAUAAACGAGGGUUGGAGAUGUAGCUCAGUGGUAGAGCACUUGCCUAGCAGAUGUGAGGCCUUGGGUUCAAUCCUCAGCACUAAAAAAUAAAUAAAAUAAAAAGGGAGAGAAAAGGAAGUAACAGAUAAUCAUAUAAAUUUGGGAAAUUGAGCUCAAUAAAGAUAAGCAAGUUGUUUUCUUUUUUUAAACAGGAUUUAUCGGGACAUGUAAUAUGCCACCAGGCAUUGUGAAUGUCCAAAAAUCUAUACAGUAUUUUUUCACACAUUAUUUGACUAUAAGACUCAUUUUCUCAUGAUCCUGUUGGGUGAAGAGUAUUCUAUUAGCAACUUUGUGACAUACUGCUACUCAAAGCUUGACCAUCAGAACAGGGUCAUUCAAAGGAUGACUGGUUACUCAUGGGCAAUGAGCUAAGAACAGAAAUAACACAAAGCUUUUAGAAACUUUUAUAGCUUUCAUAACUUGACAGAAUAACUUCUAUAUCUUUUGGAUCUAAUCACAAAGUAGUAGGGCUUACAUUUCUUUGUUUUAUUAACUUCAUUUUCUUAGAAAUUAAUUUUUAAGGUACUUUAUUUUUUUAAAAUCCAUCUGCAGCACACUGAAAGUUUUAAAAACUGGUCUUUCCCCUCAUAAUUUGAGAAUGUCUUCAUUAACAUGAAACCCCCAACCAGACCUUGCUGGCAUCAAGAAUGGAGCGCAAAGGUUAUCCCAAAGUCCAGACUACCUGCCCUUGCAUGGAAGCCAUCCUGGCCUUUGAUUGCUUCUUCAUCCAUUAUAACCUUGUCAUUUUUACACAGAUUCUCAGACUCAAGUUCCUUGCAGUGGAUCAUUUGCUCCUGCAUCCAUAAGAGGACGGUAGUAUCAGGAGCCCUUGCCUGGAGAGAGGGUCCCGAGAAAGAAGGGACCUUGACUACUCUGGGAGAAGUCCUUCCCUGUACCCAGGACAGAUUCGUGACAGCUCAGUUUGACUUCACCACCUCUGUGGCUUCCCACCACUGUCUGUGGCUGCACCCAAAUGCUGGCGCCUGAGGACACCCCGUCUGCCUGCUGAGGGGCCUCGGCAUCUUACCAGAGAGCACCUGUGUUUGUCAGGGUUUCCAGAAAAGCAGAGCUGAGGGGUUCUCAAAGAACCAGGAUGUCUUCAGCUGAUGUACUUUUGGCCUUGACUGUCACAGUAUCACAGGACCAUUGAGGCCUCAACUUGUGACUGGAGGAUGGCUCCUGACAGUGAGCAGCUUUCUUCCACCAUGCCAUCUGCCAUUGCAUUUCUGCCUUGGAGCCCGCUGACUGUGCAUGGACUGAACCUUCUAAAACCAUGAGCCAAAAUAAACCUAUCCUCCUUCUAAGUUGCAGGUGUUGAGUGUUUUGUCCAAGUGAUGGGAAAGUGACUAAUAUGCACCUUGAUUUUAGACUUUCCAGUCUCCAAUAUCAUGAGAAAUAAAUUUCUGUUGUUUAUAAGCCAGCACUCUACAGCAUUCUGUUUAGCAGGCCACACACACUAAUAUGGUAUUUUCCAAGCUCUUUGCCUCAUGGAUACAGAAGAGAUUCUGUAGCUCCAGACAUCAUUUCUGUACUCAAGUAGAAAGAAGUUAGGUGGGGAGUAGAAUGAGCAACAUCUAUCUCUUUAAUAAGAAAAGCAGUGCCUUCACAGAAGUAUUCUCAACCAACUUUCCUUGGUCUCAUUUGCCAGAAGUGGGUUCUAUGGUCACCUUUUUCCAAGAGAAGUUGGGAAAGUAAGGAAGAGGACUGUCAUGAUUCAUUAUCUGUUGCUGGGCACAUGGCCAAAGUAUAAGAAAAAAACAAAAAUGGGAAAUGGAUGCCGUGUAGGCCACUAACAGGUGGCUUGUCAGAACUUAUUUUUGAGAAUCGCAUCUCCAUGUAAAAUAUUUUAGAUUGAGAUUCAUUUAUGAUAACCAUCUUUGGAGCAAACAGGAUUUUUUCACUGGCUGCCUUAUGUAAACAAAACUGCUUCUGCAAGUGACUUAUUAACAUCCCAGCUAAGCCACCCUGUGGUUUGACCUUGGCUUGCUACCUUAGAGGGAACUGCUGAGUCCCGCAUGUUUACCAGCUGUUCUGUGCUGAAUGCUUGAGUAUCUGGAAAGCAAAUAAAGCCUAGUAGGCCUAUGCUUCCAGGGGAAGUUGGGGGCCUGGGGAGGGGAGCCUUCCUUUAACAAAGACAGUCCUUUCAAUGUCAGUGACAAAUGUGUUUGUACGAAGGCCUCAGAGAGUAGAGGGACAAGUGGUGGUUGCCCCUGGUAACCAAGGUGAACUCUAUUCCUGAUUGGAUGGGUUCACAAGGAGGGUAGUGGGGCCCUGGCUGCUGGGCUUUAGGUAGAUUUAAAAAAUCAUGCAAAGGAAGAGAAAACAAAGAGUAAGGAUCAAGAACCCAUGCAUGGGGGUGGGGGUGGGAGUGGUUUUUUGUUUCCUCUGCUAAUUAACAGCCAAGGAGGCCCUUUUCAGGUCAGGUCAGUGCAUAGGAGCCCUGGUACGGGGUGGACGCCACUCCCAAUGUUCCUAACACUAAAACAAUCAAUUUUCACCCCAAAGUAAAGUUAGGUAGUUGGUUAUAAGGGGUAGAGUGUUGAUAGUUGCCACCACAUUGUUCUUAUAAAUAAAAUGCAUGGUAACUUUAAAAUAAUAAAUGUGUGUGUAGCUGCUGACCAGUUCAUAGCUUUUCCAGCCUCUCGGUGUCCCAGUCUGGUGGGUAGCUGUCCUCAGGCUCCAGGCCAAGCAGUGGCCAGGGCACACUGUGCAGUGUCCAGAGGAACCGGACUUUCCUCUGGGGCUUGGUGACACACAGCUCCUCAUUAGCAACAGAAAAGACAGGGAGCUGGCUUGAGGCUGAGCCUGGCCUGCCCCAGAUUCUGGGUUUUGUUUUUCUGAUUCUGUCCUCGAACUGAUUCACUCCUCCUGCUCAUUCAGCUGGGAGAGGCUGAGCAGCUCUCUGACAGCCGAGGACAUGUCACUGCAGCAGAGAGCUGGCAAUUUGCAGUACCUGAAGCACCACUCCUAUCUCUGCUAAGAGCUGGUGGAAAAUGGAGCUGCAGAAGAUAAAGCAAAUUCCGAAAGUGAGGACUGUGGGUCUCAAGGAGUGUGAAAAGUCCAGAAGCUGACGCUGGCAGUUUGUACAAACAGCCGAGAGGCAAAUGUAUCAGUGCAGUGGACGCUGGCCUCCUCUCCCAGGAGGGGCCGGGCCACACAUAUUUAGGUGUUGUAAAGGAGGGGCAGAGGGUG